rnacentral:lncRNA from 1 species
UGUCAGCAGUGCAGAAGUGAGUCCUACUUUUGACCAGGGAAGAGGAACAGAAAUUGAGGGAAGGGCUCUGGCUGUUCAUGGUUGAGUUGUUAUAUAAUAGCUGUUUCUAUAUAAUGAGAGAUCAGAACAGAACAGAACUCACACACAGAACCAGACCAGAGCAUCAGAGACCAUCUCAGACAAUACAAUCUUCAGCAUCUCAACCAUCUCUGAACCAUGAAGACCCUGACUGCUCUACUCCUCCUGGGACUGCUCUGCUCCCUCCAUACAACAUCUGCAGGUCAAGUGGCAGAUUCAUGAUCUAUCAUCUGGGACUGGCAGAGACUGCUGUUUAAAGUCCUACACCACCAGGAUGCCUGUCUCUCUCUGGUGGUAUCUGCUGUUUAAAGUCCUACACCACCAGGAUGCCUGUGUCUUUCUGGUGGAUUCUGCUGUUUAAAGUCCUACACCACCAGGAUGCCUGUCUCUCUCUGGUGGAUUCUGCUGUUUAAAGUCCUACACCACCAGGAUGCCUCUCUCUCUGGUGGUUUCUGCUGUUUAAAGUCCUACACCACCAGGAAGCCUCUCUCUCUGGUGGUUUCUGCUGUUUAAAGUCCUACACCACCAGGAUGCCUCUCUCUCUGGUGGUUUCUGCAGUUUAAAGUCCUACACCAUCAGGAAGCCUCUCUCUCUGGUGGAUUCUGCUGUUUAAAGUCCUACACCACCAGGAUGCCUGUCUCUCUCUGGUGGUUUCUGCUGUUUAAAAUCCUACACCACCAGGAAGCCUCUCUCUCUGGUGGUUUCUGCUGUUUAAAGUCCUACACCACCAGGAUGCCUCUCUCUGUUGGUUUCUGCUGUUUAAAGUCCUACACCACCAGGAAGCCUCUCUCUAUGGUGGUUUCUGCUGUUUAAAGUCCUACACCACCAGGAAGCCUCUCUCUCUGGUUGUUUCUGCUGUUUAAAGUCCUACACCACCAGGAAACCUCUCUCUGGUAGUUUCUGCUGUUUAAAGUACUACACCACCAGGAAGCCUGUCUCUCUCUGGUGGUUUCUGCUGUUUAAAGUCCUACAACACCAGGAUGCCUGUCUCUCUCUGGUGGCUUCUGCUGUUUAAAGUCCUACACCACCAGGAAGCCUCUCUCUCUGGUGGUUUCUGCUGUUUUAAGUCCUACACCAUCAGAAUGCCUCUCCCUGGUGGUUUCUACUGUUUAAUGUCCUACACCACCAAGAAGCCUCUCUCUCUGGUGGUUUCUGCUGUUUAAAGUCCUACACCACCAGGAAUCCUCUUUCUCUGGUGGUUUCUGUCACAACGACCCCCAGCAGCUGCCCUCGUAAAGCUCUGCUGUAAGUAGCAUACAAUGUACAUGGACUAUAUACUCAAAACAACAAGAUGGACUGCUUUCUGAAUUGACCGAGUGACACCAAAACAUCACAUUCAUCAGUAAUAAUGUCCUCAAUCAGCUUUCUGAAUUGACCUGGAGACACCAAAACAUCACAUUUAAAGAACCCUUUGAAGAUUGUUCCACAAAUAAAGUGUAGGAAAACUAAAAGCUGAUUCACCAAACUCCGUUGAGACCAAAUGAAUUUCCAGAGUUUCCCAUCCCUGAGACUGGGUGUGGUGACUCAUGUCUAAAUGUAGUAAAGAUAUUAAGUAGCCUUCCCUGUAGCUCAGUUGGUAGAGCAUGGUGUUUGCAAUGCCAGGGGUUGUGGGUUCGAUUCCCACGGGGGGCCAGCACAGGAAAAUAAUUCUAUGAAAUGUAUGCUUUCACUAAUGUAAGUCGCUCUGGAUAAGAGCGUCUGCUAAAUGACUAAAAUGUAAGUACAGUGGCCAUUUUUGUAUAAGUGCUUUUUGAAUGAAAACACAGCAAUGUAUCAACCUACGUGAUAUCAAAGACGGCCAACCAACUUUACAGUAGAGAAUGCAGUGAUGAGUACUAAAACUAUCACCCGUAAUAAACCACAGUGCGCUAUGAUAAACUGCAUCUAAAAGCUUUAAUGAAGUGGCAGCUGCGUUAGUAUACAUGAUGUUGCCAUAGUUUCGGACUGAUAGGAACGUCGACUGAAUGAUAUGCUUUCUACUAUUUAGCGAGAGGCAGGACCUGUUUCUAUAGAAGACCAUUUUAACUCUCAGCUUCUCAGCUAACUCAUCAAUAUGCUUUAUAAAAGACAGCUUUUCAUCUAUCCAGAUGCCCAGAUAUUUGUAAGCAGGGACACGAUCAAUAUGAAAAACCAUCCAACGUUCAUAUGCUGAAAUCAUCUUAUUUGUUUUUAUGUGCUCUAGAGAACAAUAUGCACUUAGUUUUAUCUGCAUUCAACACUAAUUUCAGGUCAAUUAAGUUUUUCUGUAAUACAAUGAAGACAGACUGUAGUUCAGAUAGAGACUGGUCAACGUUGGGGGUAAUAGCAGACACAACAAUAUCAUAAUACAAUGAAGACAGACUGUAUUUCAGAUAGAGCCUGGUCAACGUUGGGGGUAAUAGCAGACACAACAGUAUCAUAAUACAAUGAAGACAGACUGUAUUUCAGAUAGAGCCUGGUCAACGUUGGGGGUAAUAGCAGACACAACAGUAUCAUAAUACAAUGAAGACAGACUGUAGUUCAGAUAGAGACUGGUCAACGUUGGGGUCAAUAGCAGACACAACAGUAUCAUAAUACAAUGAAGACAGACUGUAGUUCAGAUAGAGACUAGUCAACGUUGGGGUCAAUAGCAGACACGACAGUAUCAACAGCAUACAAGUGUAGGUUACAGUUUGUUUAUAAGACAAGUCGAUAUUGUCAAUUCAAACAGUCAAAAGUACAGGACCCAGAAUCGACCCCUGCGGGACAUCUUUCUUAAUAUCCAGGAAACCUGAUUUAACAUCAUCAGUAGAUACACGUUGAGCUUUAUCUGUCAAGUAAUUGUUUAAACCAGUUACAUGCAGCCUGAUCUAGGCCAACUGAGGAAAUUAGCAGUGAGUGAUCAACAGUAUAAAAUAUUCUACUAAUCUAUACUAGCCUGUUUAUAUUGAUUAAUCGUUACAUGAAAUUAACCAAAAUGUGAAAUCAUACACGAACCAAUGUUAUUUUAUAAACUGAACUCUGAAAUAAAAAUCAUUUUGAGGAUCUUUCUAUUCUAUGCAGAGUGAUUGUAGUAAGUAACAUAGCCUACAUGUUGUUGAUUCAAGUAUUAUGCUGUUAAAGGGGCAGUACGGUGAAAAACGUGAAUGUCCUAUUUAUUUUUAAAUGAUAUUUCCACUCUAUGAGGUCAAAAUAACACUCUGAAAUUGUGAACAUUACGAUAAUGCCUUUUUAGUGUAAUCUUUUUGGAGAGAAAAAAAUAAAAUCGCCUGGAAUUUCAUUCUGUUCAGGCGGGAUGGAGUUAUUGGCCCACAGCAUGACAUCACAAUCUGAUUAUUAUGACCAAUGACCAGUCAUAUUUUAUUUACAUAUGUAUCCUCCUAACUUGAAGGGGUAAGCAUGGUAGGCUCUAGACUAGAGUCUAGAGGAUCCUAUUCUCCAGUAUAUUAACAUAUGUAUCCUCCUAACUUGAAGGGGUAAGCAUGGUAGGCUCUAGACUAGAGUCUAGAGGAUCCUAUUCUCCAGUAUAUUAACAAAUGUAUCCUCCUAACUUGAAGGGGUAAGCAUGGUAGGCUCUAGACUAGAGUCUAGAGGAUCCUAUUCUCCAGUAUAUUAACAUAUGUAUCGGCAGAGCCACACAAUCAGAUUGUUGCAUUUCAACGGCAAAAUAAAUCUCAGGAAAAUAAAUGAUAAAUAAAAAAUAUAUGAAAUAAACACACAAUGAUAUAUUAGACAAAGCUUUUUAAACAUUUAAUUAAAAAGACUGCAUGGGGGCUUUAUUGAAGACCUUUGGAUGGGAAGGCUUCUGAGAACAGUUUAACCAUAGGCCUAUUGACUGAUAGAUAGAAAUACCCAGAGCCUUACUGUAACGCCCUGGCCAUAGAGAGGGGUUUUUGUUCUUUAUUUUGGUUAGGCCAGGGUGUUACAUUGGGUGGGCGUUCUAUGUUCCUUUCUCUAUGUUUUUGUAUUUCUUUGUUUUGGGCAGUGUCUGGCUCCCAAUCAGGCACAGCUGAAGCUCGUUGUUGCUGAUUGGGAGUCACACAUAAGGAGCAUGUUUUUCCUUUGGGUUUUGUGGGUAAUUGUUUCUGUUCAGUGUGUUUCCUGUCAGUACUGUUUGGCUGUCGGUUUUCCUGUUUUUUUGUACAGUGUUCUCUUUGUUUGAAUUAAAUGUCAAGAUGAACACUAACUCCGCUGCACCUUGGUCUUCUUCCGACGACAGCCGUUACACUUACAGUGAUUUCGGAAAGUAUUCAGACCCCUUG